rnacentral:rRNA from 1 species
GACUAACGCUGGCGGCGCGCCUAACACAUGCAAGUCGAACGAACUCUUCGGAGUUAGUGGCAGACGGGUGAGUAACGCGUGGAUAAUGUGCCCCUUCGCUGGGGAUACCUGUUCGAAAGGACAGUUAAUACCGAAUGAGAGGCUCUUUGGCAUCAAGGAGCUUUGAAACUGUAUGGGCGAAGGGAGCAAUCCGCGUUCUAUCAGCUAGUUGGUGAGGUAACGGCUCACCAAGGCUACGACGGAUAGCUGGUCUGAGAGGAUGAUCAGCCACACUGGGACUGAGACACGGCCCAGACUCCUACGGGAGGCAGCAGUGAGGAAUCUUGCACAAUGGGGGAAACCCUGAUGCAGCGACGCCGCGUGAGGGAAGACGGCCUUCGGGUUGUAAACCUCUGUCAGUAGGGAAGAAGAAUGACGGUACCUACUGAGGAAGCUUCGGCUAACUACG